rnacentral:lncRNA from 1 species
AAAAGAAAAAAACCAAACAAAUAUUUGCAAACUAAUCGAUGUAAUCCACAGUGUUGUCAGAUUACACACACACACACACACACAAACACACUGAACAUCUCAAUAAAUAUAGAAAAGGAUUUUUUAAAAAAUCCAAUAACCAGUGCUGCUUGAAACCCUGCAGCAAACUAGGAAUAGAAAGGAACUCUCUCAAUCUGAUACAGGAUAUCUACUCAAAACCUAAACCUACCAUCAUAGCGAAUGGUCAAAAUGCAGCCGUCCCCCUUAAGUUCAAGAACAAAACGGAGAUGUCCACUCUCACCAUUACUAUUCGGCAUUGUACUAGAGAUGUGAGCCAGUGCAAUAAGGAAAGAAUAAAUAAAAUAAAUAAAAGGAACUCUAGUUCAAAAGGAGGAAGUAAAACUUUCUUUAUGAUGGAGUUCCCUUCAUGGCUCAGUGGAAACAAAUCUGACUAGAAACCAUGACGUUGUGGGUUUGGUCCCGGGCUUCCCUUAGUGGGUUAAGGAUCCGGCAUUGCCAUGAACUGUGGUGUAAGUCAUAGACUCGCCUCCUAUCCUGAGUUGCUGUGGCUGUGGUGUAGGCCGGCAGCUGUAGCUCCGAUUUGACCCCUAGCCUGAGAACUUCCAUAUGCCUCAUGUGGGGCCCUAAAAGGACAAAAGACCAAAAAAAAAAAAAAAAAAAACCAAAAAACAAAAAACUUUCUUUCUGAAUUGACUUCAUAGACAGAUGAUCAAAAUCCCUGGAAUUUACAAAAUAGCUAGUAGAACUACUAGCUGAGUUUAGCAGAGUUCAUUAUCUCAAAAUCUCUCUCUAUGACUUAGCAAUGAAUAGUAAAAAUUUAAAUAUAAACAUGCCAUUUACAGCAGCAUCAAAAAUAUGACAUAUUCGGGGGUAAAUGGGAGAGAAAAAUGUGUCACACCUGUACACCAGAAACUGAAAAACAUCUUGAGACAAAUGAAAGAACUAAAUAAAUGGAGAGAGAAGCCUUAUGCAUCAGUUGGAACACUCAGUAUUGUUAGGACAUCAGUUCGUCUGAGUUGAUCUAUAGAUUCAACACAGUCCCAAUCGAAAUCCUAAAAGACUUCUUUCUAGAAACUAUCCAGCUGAUUCUCAACUCACAGUGAACUUCAAAACACCCAGAAUAGCCAAACCACUCUGAAAAAAAAAAAAAAAAA